rnacentral:rRNA from 1 species
AUGCACGCUGGCGGCGUGCCUAAUCCAUGCAAGUCGCGCGAACGGACGAGAAGCUUGCUUCUCUGAUGUUAGCGGCGGACGGGUGAGUAACACGUGGAUAACCUACCUAUAAGACUGGGAUAACUUCGGGAAACCGGAGCUAAUACCGGAUAAUAUUUUGAACCGCAUGGUUCAAAAGUGAAAGACGGUCUUGCUGUCACUUAUAGAUGGAUCCGCGCUGCAUUAGCUAGUUGGUAAGGUAACGGCUUACCAAGGCAACGAUGCAUAGCCGACCUGAGAGGGUGAUCGGCCACACUGGAACUGAGACACGGUCCAGACUCCUACGGGAGGCAGCAGUAGGGAAUCUUCCGCAAUGGGCGAAGGCCUGACGGAGCAACGCCGCGUGAGUGAUGAAGGUCUUCGGAUCGUAAAACUCUGUUAUUAGGGAAGAACAUAUGUGUAAGUAACUGUGCACAUCUUGACGGUACCUAAUCAGAAAGCCACGGCUAACUACGUG